rnacentral:rRNA from 1 species
UACGUAGGGUGCAAGCGUUGUCCGGAAUUAUUGGGCGUAAAGAGCUCGUAGGCGGUCUGUCGCGUCGGAUGUGAAAAUCCAGGGCUCAACCCUGGACCUGCAUUCGAUACGGGCAGACUAGAGUUCGGUAGGGGAGACUGGAAUUCCUGGUGUAGCGGUGAAAUGCGCAGAUAUCAGGAGGAACACCGGUGGCGAAGGCGGCCCACUGGAUCGGCGCUGACGCUGAGGUGCGAAAGCGUGGGGAGCAAACAGG